rnacentral:lncRNA from 1 species
CUUUCAAUUGUGGAUCCAAUAACUCUCCCAGAAUUCGAUCAAUUAUAACCAAAGAAAGUGCUUCGAAGGAAUGAGUUGUUAUCUGUAGCUACGGCUUCAAUUUGUGUGUAAAAUCCUUUGCUAUGAACCACUUUAUAUAUAGUCGAAUCAUUGUCUUCAUUUACAGAAAGUUUCCAUCCAUUCGUUGGUUGAGGAAGAAGAAAUAUAUUGUGAAGACAAACAUGGCAAGAAUGGAAAUUUGCUAUCACUAAUUUCAGCAAAAGCCUCAAUAUAUGCGUGAUCAACCUUUUUUCAAAAGAAAAAGAAAUUAAUUUAGAUUGGGGGCCGAUUCAUGUAGAAAUGGAAAUUGAUAUCAUAAAAUUCUUUCCAAAAUUUGUUCUUUCUAAAAUAAUAAUCAUUCUAUAUUUAAAAUAGUCAAACAUUUAAUACUUACCAUGUGGGGGGCAGAUCCGCGGGGAGUCGAAGCGGCGGCGGCCAUGGCUGCUGUGGUGGCCGGAAAUCGCGAAGAGGCGGUGAGGAUUUGGAGAUCUAGGGCUUCUUUGGGAGAGAGGAUGGAGAUUAGGGGUUGAGAGGUGGAGAUGAGGAUCGAGACAAAAGUCGGUCGACGGUGAUGGGGUGACUGUCGUGGUCGCUGGAAAUCGCGAAGAGGCGGUGAUGAUUUGGGGAUCUAGGGCUUCUUUGGGAGUGAGGAGGGAGAUUAGGGGCUGAGAGAUGGGAGGGGAGACAGAAGUCGUGGCCGUGGCUUGCCGGCGGCAGCUUUCGCUGGAGUUUCAGGGGCGGCGGCGAUAGGGUGAGAAUAAGGUGUGACGGGUGGUCUGCAGAUGUGGAGUGAGAUGUGAAUUUGAUUCUUGAAUAAUUGUUAAUUGGAAUAUUCAAUGUAAAUUAAAAAUAAAAUAUUACAUGUGGAAUUAAUUUGCCACGUAGGAUGUAUAUUUUAAAGCUAGAGGCUGUAGAAUUGCAGGGAUUUUAAACC